AGCAUGUACGUUUAAAUGCCCAUUACGGUGAAGUUGGUUGCGAUAUAUUUAUAAACACAUAAGAAGGUUACACACAUAUGCAUUUAUAAAAUAUUACUAUUUAAAAAGUGAUAAAUAUGCUCCAACCUGAUUCAGCGCACCCACCACCUAAUACAUUUGAAGUUUCUGACGUUCAAACACACCAGCCACUCUCGACAGACCAUGGCAAGCGGAAACAUUCAACAGAGGUGUCAGCCGGUGACAGAAAAAUAGAUGAAAAAACAAAAUCGGUGCCUUUAAGAAUAAGAUUUGUAAAUUUCGACCCAAAACAAAUGACUUGCCCACAUUGCCAUAGACAUAUAACGACAGAGUUAAAAUUUCAUCCAGGGGAGACAACCUGGUCAUGGUGCAUUUGUUGCUUUUUAAUGGGAUGCGUCCUGGGAUGCUGUUUUCUCCCUUUUUGCAUGCAGAGGUGUAGAGAUGUGACGCAUUAUUGUCCACAUUGCCAUCAUAAAAUAGCUAAAUACCAUCGUAGUGAUCCAACAAAUCAUAGAAGAUUAUAAUGUUUAGU